UCUGGUUGAUCCUGCCGGAGGUUACUGCUAUCGGUGUUCGAUUAAGCCAUGCGAGUCGAGAGGGGUCAUGCCCUCGGCGUACUGCUCAGUAACACGUGGACAACCUGCCCAAAGGUCCGGGAUAACCCCGGGAAACUGGGGAUAAUACCGGAUAAAUCAUGAGUACUGGAAGGUCUUGUGGUUGAAACUUCCGGGGCCUUUGGAUGGGUCUGCGGCUGAUUAGGUUGUUGCCGGUGUAACGUACCGUCAAGCCUGUAAUCAGUACGGGUUGUGGGAGCAAGAGCCCGGAGAUGGAUUCUGAGACACGAAUCCAGGCCCUACGGGGCGCAGCAGGCGCGAAAACUCUACAAUGCAGGCAACUGCGAUAGGGGAACAUCGAGUGAUACUCAUCUUGGGUGUCUGUCCUCCCGUCUAAAAAACGGGAGUUAGCAAGGGCCGGGCAAGACCGGUGCCAGCCGCCGCGGUAAUACCGGCGGCUCGAGUGGUAGCCGAUAUUAUUGAGUCUAAAGGGUCCGUAGCCGGCUUUGCAAGUCUUUUGGGAAAUCCAGCGGCUUAACCGUUGGUCGUCCGGGAGAUACUACAUUGCUUGGGACUGGGAGAGGUAAGAGGUACUCAGGGGGUAGGAGUGAAAUCCUGUAAUCCUUUGGGGACCACCGGUGGCGAAGGCGUCUUACCAGAACAGGUCCGACGGUGAGGGACGAAAGCUAGGGGCACGAACCGGAUUAGAUACCCGGGUAGUCCUAGCCGUAAACGAUGCUCGCUAGGUGUCACAACAAUCGUGAAUUGUUGUGGUGCCGUAGGGAAGCCGUGAAGCGAGCCACUUGGGAAGUACGACCGCAAGGUUGAAACUUAAAGGAAUUGGCAGGGGAGCAC
rnacentral:rRNA from 1 species